ensembl:lncRNA
UGGCUCUCCAUCCCCGCCCCCCUGCUCCUCCCCUGCUUGGGGCUCCACGAGACUGCACGGGCCCAGGGGGGCUGCUGGAGGCGUUCUCUGGCCUCAUCUGCCUACGAGCAGCUCCCGUGGAGGGAGCUAGCAAGAAACCAAACCGCGUCUACGCUUCCCUGACAGACACUCCAAGUCCCAGAAAAGAAACGCAAGAUGAAGAGGGCCUCCCACAGACAGCCGGCAAGUGGAAAAGGCGCUCUCGCAUAUUUCGGAGGUGUGGGGGUGGGGCGGCCACAACAUGCCCAACAAAGUGACCAGCACGAAGUACAGAUGCUCACUGAAGCCCCGCUGCAGCCCCGGGGGCACUCGUGCCAGGACACAGAGCCAAGCUGUGCAUUAGAUAGUGUGUGGUCCUGAGCAGACCAGGAGUCGAUGGAGAGGAAGGUGCUGAUCAACCAGGCCCCCUGGCAGGGCCCCUCCCGCAGGCCUCCCGGCCAAGCCGCACCACCGCGGCUCCAGGGCCACCAGCCCUGUUAACCUUGGCCGGACCCCAGCCGGAGAGAGGCCCCCGAGCCGCCUCCCGGGUCCCAGACUAUGGGGACUCAAAGGUCAACAGAGAAGAGCCGGCUCUGCCUGACGCCCCUCUCAGGGGGUGAUGCCAAGUGCUCUGCCAGCCUGGCUCCUGACACAACGCUGCACGUCACGUCUGGAACAGCCAGGCCAGGAGCAGGAAGGAAGGAACGCAUGAGAUGAGGGAGGAAGCUGGGCAAGUCGGCAGGGGAGCACCAAGCCCCAAUCCAGGGGGAUACCAGAGGCCUCAGAGACAACAGGGUCUCAGGGAGCAACGCCAGCCUCUGCACGCUGGUGAUCCCCCAACAACAAGCCAGGGGCAGGGCUGUGAACACGGGCAGCGGGCACCCAGAGCCAGGCCUGAGGACCCGCUAAGCACAGGGAGCCACGGCUCCCCAGCACGGCCAGCGGCUCCAUCUGGCUCCAGCCCGGCAGCCAGCGCUGGCCAGACACUAGCCGGCACAUCUUGAGGGACUUGGCCGGCUCCCGCUUCAUCUCCCCAGCUGCACCAGAGCUGAUCUGUCUGCUUUAUUCCUGUUCCAGGUCCAACACCCCUAGCCAUCCCUCACUCCGUUCCUGCCAGAGGGGCUGAGGCUUCAGAUUCCUUGAAGGAAGAAGACAGCGGACUCUUCCAAAUACGCUCAGCAAGGAUCCCAGGCUGCUCACGCCAACUCAGAGUCUCUUCUCAGAUGGGAAGAGGUGAAGAUGCAACACUGGGAGGCAGCAUGCAGCAGGCUUCCCGGGGAAAGGGGUGGGCGGGGGGAGUGGGGGCAGAAACACAACCCUCGUCCCCGAGGCACAAGCGGAGAGCUGGGAUCCCACAGGGGCCUCGUGAUAUCAUCCGAGAACAUCAGAAAAUUCCCCAGCACCAUCCCUCUGGUCUUGAGACCCCAGACGAUCAGCUGUCAGCUCACUCCAUCCGGCCCUACUGGCUCAGACGGGGCAGGAAUCGACUCGACAGGAGGGAUAUCUCCCGAGAAUGUGCACAGCGCCUCAGUCUGCACCAUCCCCAUCAAGUGACAGAUCUCCCAGUUCCGCAGGCCUCAUCCUUUUUAAUCACCAUCGCUAUUAUUGUGACCAGUAUCUAGUGCAGCAUCAAGAAAAACGUUCCUACGUCAACUGCCUGAAGAUGCUUUGCAAUGGCUCACUGGGCCAGGAUUUUUUUUUUAAAGUAAAGGCAGUGAGGGCCUAGAGGAAGAAAGUAACUCACUCAAAACAAAAAAAAUCUUAAGGUAGGGAAAGAAUCCCAAAGUUCACUGCCCAGCCCACAGUCCAUGAAGUUCAGGCCACAGGCCUAGACUAAGGCCCAGUGAGGCUAAAGGUGCUCUAGCGUCCAGGUAAGAGAGGACAAGGGGAAAGGAAGGCCCAGCUCCCAGGCAGGCUCCCAGCCCCCCCAGAACCUAUCGCUGGACACAGGGGCCUGGGGAGGGCAGUGACCUCGGGAGGCCUGACAGUUGUUCUGCCAAGGGCCACUCCCACCAUCACCAGUGUCCGAUCACUUAGGCUGCCCACCUGGCCCCUGUGCCUUCACUGGUUACUAACCUCAUUCACAGAAAAGCCAGGAGGAGAAGGAUGGAAAGAAGAGAGCGAUUGUCUGGGAGAUUCUGAAUGGAGAAGUCUGAGGCUUCUCCACUAAGUAGAACGCCCUCCGUGGGCAAAGAGGGGCUGGGGGAGGGCCGGACCGCACCGCACAGCCCACAACUUGACUUACCUGGGAGGCAGGGAGGUGGCGGGAUCCUAUCUUCCUUCCUGCAUCUGGUUUCCGAUAAGCAGCCAGGCAGUAGCUCGCUGACAAGCCCAGGGUCGCGUCAUGCCCAUCGGCACUUACAGUCCCAGAACCACACAAACUGUGGGCUCAACAGCGUCUCUGAGAGGAACCCAGACCAAGCUGCCCUGUUCGUCUCAGCAUGACACGCUCAUUCACCACCCAGCUCCUCUGCAGACAACUGACCCCUUCUGCUGGUCAAGCCAGACUUCUAGAAACCCCAAACGAGGGUGAGGGUGGGGCGCAGACAAGCUCCCGGAUGCCCAGAGCUGGGGCUGCCUCACUGAUCCCAAAGAGACUCAGAGGAAGGACGAGGCAGGGCUGGAGGAAGGCAGGGAAGGUAGGAGGUUCCAAAGAAGGAAGGGAGAGGUCAAAAGACAUGCUUGGGCAAAGCAGGGCAAACCGGAAGCUGUUAAGACACAGCGGAGGCCACACAGUGCUCUCAGCCACAUUGGGUGCCAGCCUCUCCUCCAAACAAACCCAGGAUCCUUUGAGAACCACCAGCCCCUCCCGACCCGCAUCCUACAUCGCCGGCACCUGCAAGGUCCUGAACCUGCCAGCACCUGAAACAGGGGGAAGGAAAGAGAGCUUGGCAGCUCUGAACCAGAUGACCAGAGGCAGAUGCGUGUACACAGACACACAGAUGCAUGUGCGUGCGUGCGCGCGCGCACACACAUGCAAACACACACACACAUACACACCCACACCCCUUCCCAGAAUAAAAGGCCCCGUGGAGGUGGCUCACUCUCUCCAGGUUCUGGUUUUCUGAUAGAAGCUCUCCUCCCCGUGGGGGUGAGGGGACAGACAGGUCCGAUAAGAAUUGCUUAGCACAACGCUAUAUAUAGUCUAGGUUCCUAGCGGCCUAGCGAUCUGGAGCUAGAACUUGGCAGAGAACCAUGCUAGAUGCUGGCAAGGCACAUCCCCCACCUCGCCACUCC